rnacentral:lncRNA from 1 species
GGUGGCGGCGUCCGGCAGCCCGUGGUACGGCCCCGACCGCGUCAAGUACCUCGGCCCCUUCUCCGGCGAGCCCCCGAGCUACCUGACCGGCGAGUUCCCCGGCGACUACGGCUGGGACACCGCUGGGCUGUCCGCUGACCCCGAGACCUUCGCCAAGAACCGCGAGUUGGAGGUCAUCCACUCCCGCUGGGCCAUGCUCGGCGCGCUCGGCUGCGUCUUCCCCGAGCUGCUCGCCCGCAACGGCGUCAAGUUCGGCGAGGCCGUCUGGUUCAAGGCCGGCUCCCAGAUCUUUAGCGAGGGCGGCCUCGACUACCUCGGCAACCCCAGCCUUAUCCAUGCGCAGAGCAUCCUCGCCAUCUGGGCCUGCCAGGUCGUGCUCAUGGGCGCCGUCGAGGGCUACCGCAUUGCCGGCGGCCCACUCGGCGAGGUCGUCGACCCGCUCUACCCCGGCGGCAGCUUCGACCCCCUCGGCCUGGCCGACGACCCUGAGGCCUUCGCCGAGCUCAAGGUCAAGGAGCUCAAGAAUGGCCGCCUCGCCAUGUUCUCCAUGUUCGGAUUCUUCGUCCAGGCCAUCGUCACCGGCAAGGGCCCGCUCGAGAACCUGGCCGACCACCUCGCCGACCCAGUCAACAACAACGCCUGGGCCUACGCCACCAACUUCGUCCCCGGCAACUAAGCUCGCCAUUCGCCUCUGCAACUCCAUUGUCUUCCGGCCGGGAGGGGCGUACGUGGAUUGGUUGAUGCUGCAAGCGAGCUGCCGCAUGCGUGUCUUGUUUCACGUUGCAUUUCAGGGGCAAGUCGAGAUGAUGAGUCGGCGUUGUACACUAAGAUGAUGUUUGUGCAAUAGUAGUGGUUUUGUUCCCUGGUGGUUAACCUUUGAUUUGUCUGAUUAAGGGCAUCUCUUAAUUUGUUACUGUCUACAACUCCUUUUAGAUCCUUGAGCUAAAGUUUAUUCCUUAUCGUAUCGAAUCUUCGGAUGCUAAUUAAGAUGACUAAAUAUGAGCUAAUUAUAAAACUAAUUACACAUAUGGAGGCUAAUUCGCGAGACGAAUCUAUUAAAUCUAACUAUAUUCGUCUCGCGAAUUAACCUGUGCAAUUAAUUUUUUAAUUAAUCUAUAUUUAGACGAUGUGAUAUAGAUCACCGCGGAACCAAACGGGAGAUUAAACGUAUAAAUAUAUAUAUAUCGCAGACCUCGGCAUGUUUCAUCCUGUGAUACAUGCCACGUGUCCACUAGACAGUGCUGGUGCCGGAAGAAAAAAAGAGGAUCGACGGUGACUGCACUUUUACCGUAUCAGCUACUGACAUGUGUACCGUGUUCUUUUUUUUACCGUCCAUGGGCCGUUGUACUCUGGUUUCCUUAAGCCGUUUCGUACGUUAGGCUUCGGCCUACGUGUGCGUCGUCAGUGUGUGUCCAGUGUUGUGGCCUACUGUUUUGCCGCUUAGUUGCCUUCAAACGCUAUAUGUAAAUUAACAGUUGGUGUAUAUCUAAUCUGGACAAUUGUUGAGCUUGUUAUCUACAUAUUUUAGUAUGUUCUUGUAUUAACCCGUCUCUUGACACUUGAAAUAAUUCCAUUUUUCAUAUGUAUUGUAUUUUGGAGAACCUUCUAUUUUUUGCAGGAAAUUGGACUGUAUCGAGGUAUAAUUGGACAAGGUUCUGGACAAGCAACAACAUAGAGAAAGACGAAGGCCAACGGGUCCAAAAAGACCUAGGCCAGGCUGAUCGGCCUAGAGUCCUCAGGGCCCCGAUCAUGCUCGUUCUUGGCGAGCACUCCUAGGCCGAUCGGCCUGAGGUGUUCCUUCACCCGAUUACCUUCCAAUUUCUGCCACGAGCUCUUCAAACUAUGAAUACCCCAAAAAUUCAGAGAGCCCCGGCAUUCAUCCGCCAGAACUCGACGAAACCAAAGGUAUACACCAAAGGGAGCUGAGGCCCACUGCAAGUCUUCGGAGUUGUCUUGGAGAUGGCUUAGGCCGACCCUAGCCACCAUGGCCUCCCUGCACGAUUGUGCCAUGGUGAAGUUCAGGAGAGCCAGUAGUAGAUCGUCGAUGGUAUGUACUCAGAGGUGAUGAUCUAAAUACAUCUAUUAUAUGAGCAACGUUCUUCAUGUCAUCUGAUCUAUUAGCGACUUGUUGUCUCCUUCUAUGCUUUCUACUUAUCAUGAAUAUGCUUGUCCCUUAGUCUAAUGCUAGUUUAGACUACAUAGCAUGCUUUAUGUAAUCUUGGUGAUUAGAUCUAGUAUGUCGAUCCUUCAUGAUAGCUAGACAUGUUCACCUGUGUUCGUACCCUUAAAUUGCCUGCGCCGAUAGGGGGAUCGUGACGGGGUCUGCUUCCGUGUAGGGUGGGGGUUUUCGGGAUGUUGACCGGAGGUAGUAGUAGUUUAAAGAUUGCUUUGGAUGAGAUACAUGAUGUGCUUGCUUGUUGGCUAGAACUACAACUAGAAGAUGAUAGGCUCUUUCUACCCUUGGUGGUGUUAUAUCAUAUAUAUCUGUGGAUGUGAUCUACACUUAUUCAUGCCAUUGAUCUUUACAACAAAUUUGCCUUCAUAUGCAAUCAAUGCUUCGUGUUAGAACUAAUCCGUUAGAUUAGAUGGAAAUCCAGAGUCAGUUUGCUGCCGAUCCACGGAUUGAUAAAUCUUGGAUAUAAUACUUUAAGAGAAAAGCUAUGAUGAUCCGUUCGUUUACGGUUUACGACUUAACGUGUUAACUACCGUCAACAACAAUGUAUGUUUGUAUGGAUACACCCGGUACCAUUUUUUACAUGUCAAACAUAUUAUGCAGUUGCAAAACAAAUGGUUUAUUGUGGCUCCUGUUCAACUUCCGUGGCUCGAUAGAGAAACACUUAUUCAUAUCGGCUCAUCUGUGCCCGACAUAAAUGAGCCGGCAUGGAUAAGUCAUCCAUAUCAGGUUGAAAAUGAGCCAGCGCAAACAUUCAAUUAUCCCUGGCUCUAUUAUUCAUGCUGCUGUAAUUUUGAGCUGGCACGAAUAAUCCAUUUUUCAUGCUAGCUCGAAAUUGCAUCGGCACAAAAAAAAAACUCCUAUCUAUGGAAUUCGAAUUUUAGCUUAUAUUCAAAUAAUUCGUAACUUGUGCGUUCAAACUCGGAUGGAGACAAAUUUUAUAUCAAAAUUGUACAGUUUCACCAGAUCUACAACUUAGUUAAAUAGUUUUUUAUUUGAAGUCAUUUAGAUGCUCAAAUUGUUGAUCACAAUACUAGACAACAAGGGUAAAAAAGAAUAAAACUUCCCUUUGUGUGCAUAUAUGUGGUAUAUGUGUGAUGGUAAUGAGGUAUCGUGCGAGGGGGAGGUUGUGAAUUCGAAGGCUAGACACCUCACACAUGUGACUUCUGACUAUAGAGUGGCCUCCAUGCCUAGAAAAAAAAUAUUUUGCUAUAAGUUUUCAUUUUUACUAAUUGUGUUGGCGCAAUUUUCCACCAGUAGGUACAAUCUGUUAUUCGUGCCGGCGGAAUUGUCCACGGUACGAAUAAUUCGUUAUUCGUGCCAGUCGGCACGAAAGCUGUUCAUGUUCGCAUCGGCUUCGUGGUGCCGGUUUGUUUAAUUGCAUGAAUGAGGUUUUCGUGCCAGAUGAGAUGAGGUGCUCUGCAGCAGUGGAGGGCCACAAAUUUACAUGUUACAUGUAUAGUUCCAUUCGUGUGACGUAGUGAACUAAUGAUCGGGCCACACAUUUACCAUAGAGACUAGACUAUUCGUUCUGAGCCAUAAAAAAGUUCACAAUUCCUUAUGUGCCAUUAAAAAUGUUUUGUUGCCUUUCCAAUCAUCGUAUCAAAUUUUUGAAUACCUCAGUGCCACUGCCGUCCAUUACCGUCAGCUCUGUUGCCGUGAACCCCUAAUUACAUGUCAGUUCUUUUCACAAAUGGCCAUUUUGCACUUCCAUCGUUUCAUUUCAGUUCACCGGUCAUUAUUCAGUCAAUCAGUAUGCCGCUUCGUCGGAAGAAAAUUAGGUGCACACCGGAUGCAAAACGCAUCCGGUACAUACCCGUGUGCUCGGCCGACGCGUGGAGGGCGCCCCAAAUCCGACGGAAGCAAUCGUUGGGUCCAGCGGCUCGUCGCGGCGCGGCUCGGCUGCAUGGCUCGAUAACGCACGGCUGCAUGGCUCGAUAACGCACGGCUGCAUGGCUCGGAAGGGAAGGAAUAGGCGGUGCCGUACGUUGAGGUCCUUCGGGUCUCCAGCUUCCGGCAGCCGGCCGUACGUUGCCUUCGGUGGAUACCUCCUGCACACAUACGAGUAGAGCACGACGACGAACAACGCCAUGAGUGUCAAGCACCACCCGAACUACACGUUGAUGACGGCCUUAGUGUGGUGCUCGCUUUCGUCGCUGUGGCAGCGGAUAGAGAGGCCGCCAUCCUUGAGUGAGUAGCCAUUGGCGAUGAGCCCCGGGAGCCACAUGACGCCGAUGUCCAUGAACCACACCCCCUGGAACGUGAGUGCCACCGACCGGAUCAGGCUCACCGUGAAGCUUUGCGGGAAGCUGGCGUCGAGGAGCGCGGUGGCGAGGCGGCGGCGACGACGGCCUGCAGGAACCAGUGGAACUGGCCCUUGACGCCGGCGUGGUCGGAGGAGUGGACGUGGAGCAUGAAGAGCUCCUGCGCGUAGACGAGCGCCAUGAGGAGCGUGCAGAGCGUGCGGCGGCCCCGCAGCCACCAGGAGCGGUCGAGGUACGCGGCGGCACCGGUGUAGAGGACGAGCGCGGUGUAGAUGACGGUCCGCCGGCCAGAUGGAGAAGGUGGCGGCGGCCCAUAUGGAGGAGGCGGCGGCGGCAAGUGCGUCGCCAGGAGAUCACGAGGCGGCGGCUCGCGUUCCCCAAACCCUCACCCAACUAUUCCUUCCCUGCCGAGCCAUGCAGCCGUGCGUUGUCGAGCCAUGCAGCCGAGCCGCGACGAGCUGCUGGACCCAGCGAUUGCUUCCGUCGCAUUUGGGGCGCCCUCCACGCGUCGGCCGAGCGCAUGGGUAUGCACCGGAUGCGUUGUGCAUCCGGUGUGCACCUAAUUUUCUUCCCGCUUCGUCUUGCUUUGCUUGAUGCCCCUCUUACAGCUUUGGGCCCAUCUGCAAGGCUCCAAGCCAACAAAUGGCAUCACGUUGUCGCGCCUGGCCACCGAGUUGACCUCCAGUCCAGCGACCAGCAUCCACACCAACCGCGAGACGGCGCAUCCUACAGUGACAUGCGCGGAUAAGUUAGCGGACACGGCAAUCUCUGCUAUGUAGCAGAACGAGGCCAUGCUGCGGUCUUGCGGCGGGGACCGAGCACCGUGCACCGGUGUGGCGGUGCCAAGCCCGGCUCCUUGCCGCGACUGGCGUCGAGGUAGUCCUUAACGCAGCCGAGCGCGUCCUCCUGGAAAGCCUCGACCUUGAGCUGCUGCCCCUCAUCACACAGUCGCUGGCGCGGUCAGGUUCUGGAGGCAAAGGGCUACACAGCUCCACGCGCGCAGGGUGCCGACUACCGAGGGAGACCUGCUGCAGCCUGCAGGCAACAAGUAGUGCCGCCACCCCGCCGCGCGUGGGCAAGGCUGCCGCGGCGUCCCACGACGCGACCGUGAGCGGGAGCAGCGCAGGCAGCUCGGCACCGCCGGAUCCAGCACGCUGCAGUGCAGAGGUGGGGCACAACGACGGCGCUUGGCACCCUGUGUACGACCUGUGGCGCAAGAAGACCUGGAGGACGCCGCCGCGGCGGGCACCGCCUCCUGUAGGCGGAGGCACUCCGCGAGGCCGGCCGGGGUCCCCGGACUCCGGAGGCUCGAGCCCAAGAUGAAGAAGAGUUCAGACCGGAGCGAUGAGCAGCGUCAGCUAGACGAAAUCGAUGAAAUCGUCGUGCGAGACUGAGAGAGGAGUAGGGGAAUAGAAGGGCAAGAUGGACAUUUUGGCUCGCCGUGAGCUCCCGUUCCCACUGAACUGGACGGCAGUGGCACUGAGGUCUAAACAAAAUUGAACUGAUGUCACGAAGGGCGUGAGAACUUGGUGCGUAAAGAAUUGCCUCUUUACCAUAUACCUUCACCUGCAUAGUGUAAUAUAAUGAACUAAUGAUCAUUUCAUUUGAUCUGCACUCUGCACUGUAGAAGCUGUUGUUUUUAGUCUAUUGUUAUUAAACCUAUAAGAGAGUCUUUCACUAUGCCAAUUUUCAAAUGUCCUAAUUAGAUAAUUGCAGAGACCGAACUACCGCCGUGCCACAUUUUCGCACUAUUCAUGCUAUUGCUGGCAAUCUUUUCAUUCAGUUCAAGCCUGCCAAAAAUGCAAACAUAUGAGCAGAGAGAGACUUGCCGCCCUUUUAAUGCAGUAUAGAGGGAAGUUUAGGCUAGAAAUUUAGAACAAAUACUUGACUACUAAUGUAGCACCAACAACAGGGAUACAAGCCUAUAGCGGGCGCGGCGGAGCGCGCCGCUCUUCCAUGAGAACAGGACAUCAGUAGUUCUACCAAAUUCUUAGCGUCUACCUAUUUGGCUAUUUGAGCACAGUUUAUCUCGUAUUCACCAAAUUGAUUUUGCGACUUUGCACACUCGCUCGCACACGCAGGCGCAGCAGCGAGCAAGCCAGCUAGCUAGUCGAGGCGGAAGAAACUGAGCCAUAGCAGCAGCAGCAGCAGCGGUGGACUCCUACGUAACUUACGGAAGCUGGUUAAGGCGUACUCCUCCGUGUAGAAAAAGUAAGUCGUUUUGGACAGCGAUAUGGUCUUCAAAGUAUUACUUUGACUGCUUAUUUUUAUAAAAAUAUUUAUCAAAAAGUGAUAUAUGUAUAUUUUUAUGAAAGUAUUUUUCAAGACAAAUAUAUUUAUAUGGCUUUCACAUUUCCAAACUCAACAACUUAAAAGUUAUUCAUGAUUUAUAUUCCUAAUGUUUGAUCCAAACCUUGUCCAAAACGACUUUCUUUUCCUAUACGGAGGGAGUACAACUUUAAAGUCCGUUCGACCCAUCUAACGUAACCAUCGCAGCACAUCAAUCUUUCUUCAUAAAUAUUAUUCAACAUUUCCUUACACUUAUUCAACAAUCCGUAAGUCCUAUUUCAACAUUUCGAAUAUGCUAACUCAAUAUUGCACGGAGAUUAGAUAUUUAUUUUUGACUUGCUCCCCCACCUCACAUAGAUUUUUCCACGUGUGAUACACGCUUCAACAUUUUCUUACAACUGAUCAACAAUCUGCAAACCCUGAUACAUCAUUUCGAAUAUACUAAUUCAACAUGUCACGGGGUCAGAUAUUUAUUUAUAGUUGGCUUGGGAUGAGGUAUUUAUUUACGGUUGGAUUGCUCCGCCACCUUUUCUUAGCCAUACAUGUACUAUAACACGAAGCCAUGUAAAAAAAAUUGUGGAAGUUAUAUAUAGGUUUCCCGGCAGUAGUGGGCCUAGUGGCCCAUGAGAGACUGUCUUGGGCCGCUAGCGGCUCGGCCGCACGGCACGAGUUAGCCAUAGCUCUGUUCCACAUCUCCUUUUUCCUCUCAGCUGGAUCCUGUUCAUGCUGCUGAGCUUCCUCCUCCCCGGGACGUCCACACGGUUCCGGCAUCAGUGCUGGCAGACCGCCGCCGUGGCCUUCUUCUCGGCGGCCGUGAUCACGAGGCGGCAUCCGGUGGUCUGGUCCCCGGUGAUCCGCCGCUGGUCCGGCCAGCGGAACCAGAAGCCCAAGCCGCCGCGUCCCGUCGGCUAUUGAAGGUGAAGGCUGAAGGGGCGACGACUGACAAUGUUCGUGAAGGCGAUGGUGCUUGUCUGUUUGAUGAUGAGUUGACGAUCAAGUUCGUGAAGUAGUGAUGCUAUUUGUGAAAGUUGUUUUCCUGGAUGCUAACUAUUGGAUGAUUCGGUGAUCCGUGUAAUUGUUUCGUUUAAAGACAUCAGUACCACUUGUUGAUCACCAUGCUGUUGGAGUUCUUGGAGCUGUCCCCUGACUGCUCUGUUUCAGUGUUCCUUUGUGCAAAAUACGCAGGCCUGUUUGGGGCAACAAGUGACUUUCUUCCGUUCUCGAAGAUACGCAGGCCUGUUUGGGGCUACAAGACUUUUUUCCGUUCUCCAAGAUACGCAGGCCUGUUUGGGGCAUCUUUUCAAUAUGAUGCAACAGAUUUUAGUGAAACAAUAAUCUGAGCAAGCUAAUUGAACAUAACUUACUACGUUCCGACAACUCGCUUAGUAUUUGCUUGCUCUUAUUGUCGCCAAAGAUUCUUGCCAUGCCAAAAUCUGAUAUCUUUGGGUUCAUCGCUGCACCCAACAAAAUGUUGCUCGCCUGUGGAUGAUUGUCAGUCUUCUUAAUGGAGGCAAAGAAGACCUCGAGCAACCCCUUUGAUUAUCUUCAAACUCGUGGCCAAUCCAGGCAUCCAACGCUGAUUUUCUUGCACUAACUGCAAAAGAGCAACAUUUUCAUGAGCAAGAUGAACUGUUUUUCAGUGCUAAUUCAGCAGUUGUGUGAAGCUACUAGAACAUACUGAAAAGAGUAGCAUAUGCAAAUCUAAGCUAUGACUUACUUUGUAAACGUUGCUUAAACCUCCUUCCCCAAUCGUUGAUGCUUCAGAGACGUUAUCGGUUGCGACGAGUAUCUCAUUAUAUUUAACACAUGGGAGCGGAUGCAAUAUAUCAGGUGACCGUCUUCAGUUUUCUCAGUGGAUGCUUCUUAUUAUCGAAAAGUGUUCGAAAGAUCUGCCGCGAUACGUCAGGGGUGGGCACCAAAUGAUUUCCGUAUGAUACUUGGAGCUGUCCCGUCUCAGUUAUCGAUCAUUACCCAGCACACUUGGCUCCUGACGCGCGCAGUAGAGGCGAUGAGCAUCACCAGUUCACCAUCAUGCAUGGGUACGUUGCCCAGCUUGGCAAGACAGUGCAACUGCCACCGCCUGAGAAUGGCGUAAGGCCGGCGAAACGCGCCGGCUGGGAGAGCCUUCACCGGCCGCCGACGGUGUAUGGGGCGCCGCCGUAUGCCACGGUGGGUGGUAUGAUCGACGUUCCAUUUCGUUGUGCAGCUGUGCCAACACCUGGGAUCAACGCAACAGCGCACUAGUAGUGUAGUGACCGGGAAGAAAAUUCUAUGCGGUGGUGUCGCACCACGAUCCACCGGCGGUCACCGUCUACAAUGGCGCUGGCGCCCGACACCGUGCGUGGUUGCUACUCUCCGGCAGUCCGGCGCGCAUCGAUCGCCGGCCUUGUGCCGUUCUUGCAGACGGCCGCCACCGCCUUGCCUUGCCAAGCCUGCGAGACGUCCACCUACUACGUCCCUCCGCGACGAGCCGACGAGCCAGCCCAUCAUUUGCGGCAGCGCGCCUCCAGGACAGGUGCAUGCAUUUUAGUUGGAUCGAUCAGCCUCGUGCAAAAUUUUCAACAAAUUCCAACGACACGUCCAGCGCAAGAGGCUGUUCACUUGCACCAAAAGAAAGAGAGGGAAACAAAGAGGCUGUUCACUUGCUCUGCGAAAACAAUUGGGAGCUGUUCCUUACAUGAAUCCACCGCAUAACCGUCUCUGUCCAUCUCAGUAUCUUACUGAGAUGAUGGCAUAAAUUUAGCAAGUGUCGCGCCGCAGUAGACUAGAUACGUCAUCGAUUCAUCAUAAUAUGAGUAGCCUUGGAGUGGCAUAGAUAAGAACGACCAGAACUAGAACUGUCAGUCUCCCUUCUUAACGGUUCCUGUCAUGGUUCCGGCCGGUGCAAACCAAAUUCAAGUACGGUGUUUUUUUUUUAAAUGAACCAAGCUAAGUACGGUGUCUUGAACUUAUAGUUUACUUCCUAUGCCAAUUGAACUUUUGGACGUUACCUAGCCAACAGUGCAAUUGCAUCGACCUAAUCAUUUUUCUCGUGAGAAUACAUGCAGCAGGUUGUUGAUCCUCAGCAGUCCUUGUCAUAGUUUGGGUUCGUUUGGCAGGACUGUGGCUGAACGACUCUGGCUAUAGUUUCUUUGGUGGAGUAGCUUUUUUUCUCCGACUUAUCUGGUUGGAAAAACGUUUGGCAAAACGACUUCUCCUGGUAGUUUAAAAUUUCUUUUAUUCUCAUCUUAUCCAUUCAUCUCUGCCGGCCGGCCAUCCAUCUCUAUCUUUUAUACUCCCGCUGACCGUCUGUCCUCCUGCUGGCUGCCUCACCCCUGCUGCCAUCAAGCUCUCCCCCACCCGCGGCUCGUUCGCGCCGCGGUUGAGCUUCGCCCGCGACUCGUCCACGCCGCCGUCGAGUUCCCCACCCCGAUGCGCCUACGCGCGCCGGCCUCCUCCAUGCACCCACCAGCCAACUCGCCCCUGCCUCCAUGGUCAAACUAGGGAGUUUAACCCCGGGAGCAAGAUGGAGCCGUGGGGAGCCUAUUUUUUGGGCUCCGUCUCCAUCAAUCUGCUCCCAUCACCGUAUUUUGCGGAGCUGAUGGUGGAGCUAUUUCUUCCCCCACCCCUUGGCAAGGCUCGAAAAAAACCGGUGGUGAAGCUGGUUCGGAAGUUCUGCCAAAGGGGCCUUUAUUAGAUCUCCAGUUCUCCACCUCCACUCCAACGUGAAACCAGCACUACCACUUGAGCCUUUGAGAACGGAGAGAGAUCACAAAAAUGCUAAGCUGGCUGCCCACCUUGAUGGAUCGGCCGGCCUCAUCCUACGUCGCCGCCGUCCUCCUCUUCUUGCUUUUGCGGCCAUUAUUGUGUGCGUCCGACGACCGGCUUGUCCUCGGCAAGGCGCUCUCGCCUGGCACACCACUCGUCUCCGAUGGCGGCGCCUUCGCGUUGGGCUUCUUCUCCCCGCCCAACUCCGACUCAUCGUCACUGUACCUUGGCAUCUGGUACAACAACAUCCCAAAGCUCACCGUGGUGUGGGUGGCCGACCAGGCCGCCCCCAUCACCGGCGACCAUCUUUCAUCCACCCCACCGGGCACGCUCGCCCUGACCAAUGCCAGCAACCUGGUCUUGUCCGACGCCACCGGCCGAGUGCUCUGGACGACGAACGUCACCGCCGACGACGCGGUGGCCUCGCCGUCGUCGAGCUCGAGCCCUAUGGCCGUGCUUCAGAACACCGGCAACCUCGUCGUACGGUCCCCGAACGGCACCGCCUUGUGGCAGAGCUUCGAGCACCCCGGCGACGCCUACCUGCCCAACAUGAAGAUCGGGAUCGUCUACCGGACGCACUACGGCGUGCGCCUCGUCUCGUGGAAGGGCCCCGCGGACCCGUCGCCGGGGAGCUUCACCUUCGGCGCGGACCCGGACAGGCCCCUCGAGCUGGUCAUCUGGAACGGGACGCGCGUUCACUGGCGCAACUCGCCGUGGGAGGGCUACAUGGUGGACAGCAACUACCAGAAGGGCGGCGGCAGGUCCGCCAUCUACAGGGCGGUCUACAACAGCGACGAGGAGAUAUACGCCGCCUACACCCUCUCCGACGGCGCGCCGCCCAUGCAGUACCGGCUGAGCUACUCCGGCGACCUGGAGCUGCAGAGCUGGAGCAACGACUCGUCAGCGUGGGUCACGAUCAUUAGGUACCCUACCCGCGCCUGCAGCGCCUUCGGCUACUGCGGCGCUUUCGGCUACUGCGACAACAGCACGGACGCCGCCGUGCCGGCGUGCCGCUGCGUCGAAGGGUUCGAGCCGGCGAGCGGUGCCGGCUGGAGCCGCAGUGACUUCUCGCGCGGGUGCCGCCGGAAGGAGCCCGUGCGAUGCGCCGACGGCUUCGCGGCGGUGCCGAACAUGAAGCUGCCGUAUGGGUACACGCUGGUGGCGAACCGGAGCUUGGAGGAGUGCGCGGCGGGGUGCAGCCGCGACUGCUCCUGCGUCGCGUACGCGUAUGCGAACUUGAGCACCAGCGCCACCAA